CCUACGGGCGACAGCAGUAGGGAAUAUUGCUCAAUGGGGGAAACCCUGAAGCAGCAACGCCGCGUGGAGGAUGAAGGUUUUAGGAUUGUAAAGUUCUUUUCUAAGGGAAGAAGAAAGUGACGGUACCUUAGGAAUAAGCCUCGGCUAACUACGUGCCAGCAGCCGCGGUAAUACGUAGGAGGCGAGUGUUAUCCGGAAUGACUGGGCGUAAAGGGUGCGUAGGUGGUUUGGCAAGUUAGUAGCGUAACUCCAAGGCUCAACCUUGGAACUACUACUAAAACUGUUGGACUUGAGUGCAGGAGGGGCAACCGGAAUUCCUAGUGUAGCGGUGGAAUGCGUAGAUAUUAGGAGGAACACCAGUGGCGAAGGCGGGUUGCUAGACUGUAACUGACACUGAGGCACGAAAGCGUGGGGAGCAAACAGGAUUAGAUACCCGAGUAGUC
rnacentral:rRNA from 1 species